rnacentral:rRNA from 1 species
UUUAUUGGAGAGUUUGAUCCUGGCUCAGGAUGAACGCUGGCGGCGUGCCUAAUACAUGCAAGCAGAGCGACUGGAAUAGGAG